GACCCUUCAUGUUCCAGGGGCUUGUGACAAAGUGGCUCCUGAGCCGACCCGGCCAUGUCACUGGGAGCACAAAGGACACUGCCAAGAAAGUGAUUUUAAACCUAAUUGUUCCCGUUCCUUUUGUUAAAUGUCUUGAGGGGUGCCUGGAGAUCGGAGAGCGCGGGGAAGGAGCACACCACGGAACUUGUAAACAAGAUUGAGGCACAGACACUUCUGCCUAAAAAACGAGAAGUGCCCCACGACACUGCUGCUUCGUGCAAAUUUUUACACGCUGGGUACAACCCCUGCACAAACGUUCGAGGAAAACCAUCCCAGCUCCCUCCUGGCCUGGGGUGGGUUUGCGGCUGGGGGCCAUCUUUGGUGACCAGCUUCUCCUGCAGCCGAGCGGGCAGGGGACACUUAAUUGUGGAGCCGGUUUGCUGGCAGGAAGCCCUGCCUCGUCCAGCGGGCAGCCAGCAUGAUAAUGAGACAGUUUCUAUGGAAAUGAACUUAUAACUAUUCAUUUUCUCCCCAUUCCCGACCCAUCCACAAAGAGGGUUUCCAAAAUGACCCCCAUUUUCCUACCCCCAACAUCUCCUCACACCAUCGCCCGACCCGCUAAUCAGCUCGGGGGGGAGAAAGGAAAGAGGAAAUGCCGUCCUUUGACAAGAUGUGGGAAACCACCUCGAUUUGUGCUCCGUGUGGCUGUGACCAGAAAACAAAGAACCCUCGCCGGAUCCGGGGGCCAAGUUUCAAGUAAACUUUUCCGGACGCACCAAGCCAAGUGUGUUUUUGUGUGUACUUUCUGGUACUGCCUCUCUCUGGUCCUCUGCCGUCCGUGACAGAUAUGCUGACUCCAGGUUCUCUAUGAGGAAUCCUGACUCCAGCACCUCAGAACGUGGCCGUAUGAAAACGGGGUGUUUAUUAAAGAUGUCUGUCGUUCGGAUGAGGCCAGUGGGAUGGGGCUUAGCCAGCAUAGUGUGUACCUCUGUAAGAAGAGAUCAAGACUCGGACACACACAGGACAGUCCUUCGACGUCACUGUGGGGAAGUUCCACGUUCAAGCUGAGGAGAGAAGCCUCUGGAAGAGCCAGCUCAGAGACCUUGGGCUUCUGACCUCCAGAACUAUAUCUGAGCUUUCUGUAGGCCUGUGUUCAGGUCACUUCCUUAUGGUUGCUGAAACAGACACAGUGUGUUCUUACUUUCUCGUGGGUUGUCUACCUGUCUGCGUCUCUGUGUCCAGGGCCCCAGGUGUAUAUUCCUGGCAGAGCCUGCUGGCUUCCCUAAGGGCUGCAGGUACAUUAACUUCCUAAUCAUUUUAAAAGAAAAAUAACGAACCCUCAUCUCAGGCCCUUCUUCCUCCACAAAUGCUGUAGCCUCCCCUAGAAUUAGAAUAUAAAAAUCACAGAUCUCUCCAGGUCUUGUGAGAUCAAUUUAAAAAAAAAAUACCAAUUUUUGAAAUUCGAGGCA